UACAGAGGUCCCAAGCGUUGUUCGGAUUCACUGGGCGUAAAGGGUGCGUAGGCGGCCCGUUAAGUCAGUGGUGAAAGCCUCCAGCUCAACUGGAGAACUGCCAUUGAUACUGACGGGCUUGAGUACAGACGAGGUUGGCGGAAUUGAUUGUGUAGCGGUGAAAUGCAUAGAUACAAUCAAGAACUCCGAUUGCGUAGGCAGCUAACUAGGCUGUAACUGACGCUGAGGCACGAAAGCGUGGGGAGCGAACAGG
rnacentral:rRNA from 1 species